GAUGAACGCUGGCGGCGUGCCUAAUACAUGCAAGUCGAGCGAACAGACGAGGAGCUUGCUCCUCUGACGUUAGCGGCGGACGGGUGAGUAACACGUGGAUAACCUACCUAUAAGACUGGGAUAACUUCGGGAAACCGGAGCUAAUACCGGAUGAUAUAUUGAACCGCAUGGUUCAAUAGUGAAAGACGGUUUUGCUGUCACUUAUAGAUGGAUCCGCGCCGCAUUAGCUAGUUGGUAAGGUAACGGCUUACCAAGGCGACGAUGCGUAGCCGACCUGAGAGGGUGAUCGCCCACACGGGAACUGAGACACGGUCCAGACUCCUACGGGAGGCAGCAGUAGGGAAUCUUCCGCAAUGGGCGAAAGCCUGACGGAGCAACGCCGCGUGAGUGAUGAAGGUCUUCGGAUCGUAAAACUCUGUUAUUAGGGAAGAACAAAUGUGUAAGUAACUAUGCACGUCUUGACGGUACCUAAUCAGAAAGCCACGGCUAACUACGUG
rnacentral:rRNA from 1 species